CCUACGGGUGGCUGCAGUGGGGAAUAUUGCACAAUGGGGGAAACCCUGAUCCAGCGACGCCGCGUGAGUGAAGAAGUAUUUCGGUACGUAAAGCUCUAUCAGCAGGGAAGAAAAUGACGGUACCUGACUACGAAGCCCCGGCUAACUACGAGCCAGCAGCCGCGGUAAUACGUAGGGGGCAAGGGUUAUCCGGAUUUACUGGGUGUAAUGGGAGCGUAGACGGCAGCGCAAGUCUGGAGUGAAAGCCCAGGGCUUAACCAUGGAACUGCUUUGGAAACUGUGCAGCUAGAGUGCAGGUGAGGUAAGCGGAAUGCCUAGUGUAGCGGUGAAAUGCGUAGAUAUUAGGAGGAACACCAGUGGCGAAGGCGGCUUACUGGACUGUAACUGACGUUGAGGCUCGAAAGCGUGGGGAGCAAACAGGAUUAGAUACCCGGGUAGUC
rnacentral:rRNA from 1 species